rnacentral:rRNA from 1 species
UACGUAGGGUGCGAGCGUUAAUCGGAAUUACUGGGCGUAAAGCGUGCGCAGGCGGCGCGUUAAGACAGGUGUGAAAGCCCCGAGCUUAACUUGGGAAUUGCGCUUGUGACUGGCGUGCUGGAGUGUGGCAGAGGGAGGUGGAAUUCCACGUGUAGCAGUGAAAUGCGCAGAUAUCAGGAGGAACACCAGCGGCGAAGGCGGCGCUCUGGGCCGGAACUGACGCUGAGGAGCGAAAGCGUGGGUAGCAAACAGG